GUCGGCUACUCAUUAAUUGAUUUAUUAUGGCUUCUUGAAUCUAGGGUUUAAUUUCUAAUCAGAGGGUUGUUUGUUUAAUACGAUUGCUAAAUUAUUUUCAACAAUUAUUUUGAAUUAAUAUUCCUCAGCAAUUGAAUUAAUAUCCUCCAACAAUUAUUGUAGAUCUGUUUUGCGUUUAAUUUAUGGGUUUUAUUGUAAUUAGGAGGGAUUAAUAAUUGGGUUAAUUUAGGGUGAAGAUCAUCGAGAAAAGCUGGAAUCUUUGAAGUUUUGGGUGUCAAUGUUGUUUUAUUAGUAAGAUUAUCUAAUGCUGUAUUGUUUGUCUAAAAUGUGAUUGUUGUUGGAUUCUUUUUAUUGUGAUUGAUGGAGUGGAUCAUGUUGACAUGGAAGGUGUGAAAGUGAGGGAAAUUGUGUUGUUCCAUUAGAGAGUUGGGACUCCAGCUGUUUCGGAGCCUGAAUUGGAGUAGGUCAGUUCACGGUUAGGUAAUUGUUCGUAGGGUCUUUUUCAUAACUACAUAUGCCCAGCAGAAGGGGCAUUUCUUUGACUGAAAAAUUGAACUUCCUUGGAAUUGUUUCUUGUAUUUUGACAAUCUUGAUGGAUGUAAGGCUUAGUAAGUUUGAUCUUAUUGAUGGAUAAUCUUCAUGCAUUCUCUGCCUUAUAAUACUAAGGAGGAGUAUACUUUUAGUUAUGAUAUGUUUGGCCGAGUUCUAUUUGUUCUAAUUAUGUACUUUGUACUAAUCUAAGCUAAGGACUGGGAGGGAAUAAGACAGCAAGAGAAAGGAAUUUGUUGGAUAUUGCAAACGGUGGAGCUGGAUUCUAAAAAUACAGUAACGGUUCAUCUCAUGUAUCAACGAGAUGUGAGGAGUUAGAAGGGUAAGAGGUACUUACUGAAAUUGAUGAACCAAGAAGUCCAGAACACAAAGAGACAAAGUUAUAGAGAACUUUUGUGAUUUGGACUCUCAUGACACGGACAUUGGUGAAUUGUUGCCAGAAAAGAGACCCACUUGCAUUUGUGAGGGAGUAUCAUAGGGACAGUCUUGAUUGAUGGUUUAAUCAUUUAUGUCUGUUCCCUAUGAAUUGCUAGUUUAUUCAUUAUUUUGAUGAAUCUAAGGCUUAAUAAAUUUGACACAUUCUGGGUAUUUCAUUGGCAGAUCAUGUAAAGAUUUGACUGGUUUGGAACUGGUGAUGGACAGAUCAUGAGGUGAUUGAAAAGUUGUAUUCAGAGGUCAAUCGGUUGCAGGACGAGGAGGAGCUUGCUGCCAUCAAGGCCUUGGGAAGAUCGUUCUACAAGAUAGUGAUUUCAGAUUAUGACUACACAGAGUUUGAGAACUUCACUAAGUGGCUCGGGGUAUCACAGUAAAUUUGGCCUUUUAGAUAAAAGUUUUUGAUAGAGAUAUUUGAAUCUGCUGAGUUUUAGAUUUCGGAGAAUUAAAUUAUCAGGUUCCCUAGCGCUUGUUCCUAUAGCGCUUGUAGUUGGAAGACUGUUUAAUUGGAACCUUGACAGUGUAUUUUUAUGCUGUUUUAUUCUUUUUUGGGUCUA